rnacentral:lncRNA from 1 species
UGAACCUGCAUUUUCAGGCUCAAUUAUCUUCACAUCUAAUAAUGUCCCAGUAGCUUAUUAGAGGAUGUUGGUUGUUAUUACAAUGGUGAGGAAAAUUUGAUGAAAGUGUGCUUAAUUAUAUAUAAAGCUUCGUAAACAUUUGUUCCUUUGAACUAGUAUUAAGCGGUCUUGUAAAUCUGCCCGUAAUGUUGGUGGACAUCACGUGGUUGAUAUACUUAACCAAGUUUCUGUUUUCCAGAAUCAUUUCUGCUUUUGUUUCUUAUUCUGGCUCCCAAGAAGACACAACAAUUCAGGAGUAAGUGUGAACCCCUGUGGCAGAAAUGA